rnacentral:rRNA from 1 species
UCGAGGAUCUUUGGCAAUGAGCGCAAGCUUGACCAAGCGACGCCGAGUGUGCGAUGAAGGCCUUCGGGUUGUAAAGCACUGUCGAGGGGGAGGAAGCCGAAAGGUUGACCUAUCCCUGGAGGAAGCACGGGCUAAGUUCGUGCCAGCAGCCGCGGUAAGACGAACCGUGCAAACGUUGUUCGGAAUCACUGGGCUUAAAGGGCGCGUAGGCGGAUCCAUCAGUCUGUGGUGAAAUCCUCCAGCUUAACUGGAGAAGUGCCGUGGAUACUGUGGGUCUCGAGGAGGAUAGGGGCAUCUGGAACUGCCGGUGGAGCGGUGAAAUGCGUUGAUAUCGGCAGGAACUCCGGUGGCGAAGGCGAGAUGCUGGAUCCUUUCUGACGCUGAGGCGCGAAAGCCAGGGGAGCAAACGG